rnacentral:rRNA from 1 species
GCAUAUCAAUAAGCGGAGGAAAAGAAACCAACAGGGAUUGCCCUUAGUAACGGCGAAGUGAAGCGGCAACAGCUCAAAUUUGAAAUCUGGCUCUUUCAGAGUCCGAGUUGUAAUUUGCAGAGGGCGCUUUGGCUUUGGCAGCGGUCCAAGUUCCUUGGAACAGGACGUCACAGAGGGUGAGAAUCCCGUACGUGGUCGCUAGCUAUUGCCGUGUAAAGCCCCUUCGACGAGUCGAGUUGUUUGGGAAUGCAGCUCUAAAUGGGAGGUAAAUUUCUUCUAAAGCUAAAUAUUGGCCAGAGACCGAUAGCGCACAAGUAGAGUGAUCGAAAGAUGAAAAGCACUUUGGAAAGAGAGUCAAACAGCACGUGAAAUUGUUGAAAGGGAAGCGCUUGCAGCCAGACUUGCUUGCAGUUGCUCAUCCGGGCUUUUGCCCGGUGCACUCUUCUGUAGGCAGGCCAGCAUCAGUUUGGGCGGUGGGAUAAAGGUCUCUGUCACGUACCUCUCUUCGGGGAGGCCUUAUAGGGGAGACGACAUACCACCAGCCUAGACUGAGGUCCGCGCAUCUGCUAGGAUGCUGGCGUAAUGGCUGUAAGCGGCCCGUCUUGAAACACGGACCAAGGAGUCUAACAUCUAUGCGAGUGUUUGGGUGUCAAGCCCGAGCGCGUAAUGAAAGUGAACGGAGGUGGGAACCCGCAAGGGUGCACCAUCGACCGAUCCUGAAGUUUACGGAAGGAUUUGAGUAAGAGCAUGGCUGUUGGGACCCGAAAGAUGGUGAACUAUGCUUGAAUAGGGUGAAGCCAGAGGAAACUCUGGUGGAGGCUCGCAGCGGUUCUGACGUGCAAAUCGAUCGUCAAAUUUGGGCAUAGGGGGCGAAAGACUAAUCGAACUAUCUAGUAGCUGGUUCCUGC